UACGUAGGGUGCAAGCGUUGUCCGGAAUUAUUGGGCGUAAAGAGCUCGUAGGCGGUCUGUCGCGUCUGCUGUGAAAACUCAGGGCUUAACCCUGAGCUUGCAGUGGGUACGGGCAGACUAGAGUGCGGUAGGGGAGACUGGAAUUCCUGGUGUAGCGGUGAAAUGCGCAGAUAUCAGGAGGAACACCGGUGGCGAAGGCGGGUCUCUGGGCCGUAACUGACGCUGGAGGAGCGGAA
rnacentral:rRNA from 1 species